rnacentral:rRNA from 1 species
AACGCGAAGAACCUUACCUGGGCUCGAAAUGCAGGAGACCGGGGUAGAAAUAUCCUUUCCUCGCAAGAGGCUGCUGUAUAGGUGCUGCAUGGCUGUCGUCAGCUCGUGUCGUGAGAUGUUGGGUUAAGUCCCGCAACGAGCGCAACCCUCAUCCCUAGUUGCCACCGGGUAAUGCCGAGCACUCUAGUGAAACCGCCCCGGAUAACGGGGAGGAAGGUGGGGAUGACGUCAAGUCCUCAUGGCCUUUAUGUCCAGGGCUACACACGUGCUACAAUGGUCGGUACAAACCGUCGCAAAGCCGCAAGGUGGAGCUAAUCGGAAAAAGCCGGCCUCAGUUCGGAUUGGAGUCUGCAACUCGACUCCAUGAAGCUGGAAUCGCUAGUAAUCGCAGAUCAGAACGCUGCGGUGAAUACGUUCCCGGGCCUUGUA